GGACAUCUUUCUAAUAAAAACAGUAUUUUAUAUUACUGUUCUUUUUAAACAGGACCUGUCGACAUGUUGGAACGGAAAAAAAUAUCUCUGUCAGGCACAAGUCAAUCUUCAGUCGUUCAAAGAUCUCCUUCAGUAACUGGAUGCAAUUCAUGUACAGAUUUUGUCAGGGUCUACGAUUACGACAGAUUGACAUGAUGGAUGACAGCAUUGCGGCCAGUUCAGCAACUCUCAGUAAAAUGGCUAAAAAAAUAAGGGAGGUCUGUGUCACGGCGGUUGAAAGGAUGAGGAGGCGUACAGGCCAGAAGAUUGGUGGAAGAAGAGAGUUUGUUGUGAUUGAUGAGAGCCAUUUUCGGCACAAAAGAAAGUACGGGAGAGGACGAAUGGUUGGUGGAUGGAAGAGAAAGAAGUGGGUUUUGGGAUGUUAGGUGUCAAGCAUCAUCAAGGACAAACAUCAAGAAAGCCUGUUCUACGUCUUGUGGAGAGAAGAUCUCGAGGACAUCUAGUCCCCUUAAUCGCUCAUCAUGUGAGGCGUGGAUCAUCGAUAAUCAGUGAUGAGUGGCGUGCCUAUCGCAUACUCCCUGCACUAGGGUACAACCAUCAUACAGUCAACCACAGCAGGUGGUAUGUAGAUCCCCAUACUGGUGCCCAUACCCA